UAUUGCACAAUGGGCGAAAGCCUGAUGCAGCAACGCCGCGUGAGUGAUGAAGGCCUUCGGGUCGUAAAACUCUGUCCUCAAGGAAGAUAAUGACGGUACUUGAGGAGGAAGCCCCGGCUAACUACGUGCCAGCAGCCGCGGUAAUACGUAGGGGGCUAGCGUUAUCCGGAUUUACUGGGCGUAAAGGGUGCGUAGGUGGUUUUUUAAGUCAGGAGUGAAAGGCUACGGCUCAACCGUAGUAAGCUCUUGAAACUGGAAAACUUGAGUGCAGGAGAGGAAAGUGGAAUUCCUAGUGUAGCGGUGAAAUGCGUAGAUAUUAGGAGGAACACCAGUAGCGAAGGCGGCUUUCUGGACUGUAACUGACACUGAGGCACGAAAGCGUGGGGAGCAAACAGG
rnacentral:rRNA from 1 species